rnacentral:rRNA from 1 species
UACAGAGGUCUCAAGCGUUGUUCGGAUUCAUUGGGCGUAAAGGGUGCGUAGGCGGCGCGGUAAGUCGGGUGUGAAAUUUCGAGGCUUAACUUCGAAACUGCAUUCGAUACUGCCGUGCUUGAGGACUGGAGAGGAGACUGGAAUUUACGGUGUAGCGGUGAAAUGCGUAGAUAUCGUAAGGAAGACCAGUGGCGAAGGCGGGUCUCUGGACAGUUCCUGACGCUGAGGAGCGAAAGCGUGGGGAGCGAACAGG